UACGUAGGGUGCGAGCGUUGUCCGGAAUUACUGGGCGUAAAGAGCUCGUAGGUGGUUUGUCGCGUUGUCCGUGAAAACUCACAGCUUAACUGUGGGCGUGCGGGCGAUACGGGCAGACUGGAGUACUGCAGGGGAGACUGGAAUUCCCGGUGUAGAGGUGAAAUUCGUAGAUAUCGGGAGGAACACCAGUGGCGAAGGCGGCGAUCUGGGAAGAUACUGACGCUGAGGUGCAAAAGCGUGGGGAGCAAACAGG
rnacentral:rRNA from 1 species